rnacentral:rRNA from 1 species
GAGUUUGAUCCUGGCUCAGAAUGAAUGCUGGCGGCAUGGAUUAGGCAUGCAAGUUGAACGAGAAUCUAACUUCGGUUAGAGGAAAGUAGCGAAAGGGUGAGUAACGCGUGAAUAAUCUGCCCCCAAGUUUGGAACAACAGUUGGAAACGACUGCUAAAACCGGAUGUGGAUAUAAGGUCGCAUGAUCUAAUAUCUAAAGGAAACGCUUGGGGAUGAGUUCGCGUGCCAUUAUGUUAGUUGGUAAGGUAACGGCUUACCAAGACUAUGACGGCUAGGUGGUCUGAGAGGACGAUCACCCACACUGGGACUGAGACACUGCCCAGACUCCUGCGGGAGGCUGCAGUCGAGAAUCUUCCGCAAUGCGCGAAAGCGUGACGGAGCAAUGCCGCGUGAUCGAAGACGGCCUUCGGGUUGUAAAGAUCUGUCAGGGGGGAAAAACGAUGAUGGUACCCCCAGAGGAAGCCACGGCUAACUACGUGCCAGCAGCCGCGGUAAUACGUAGGUGGCGAGCAUUAUUCGGAAUUACUGGGCGUAAAGGGUCCGCAGGUGGUUAACUAAGUCAGAUGUGAAAUUUCAGUGCUCAACACUGAACCUGCAUUUGAAACUGGUAAACUAGAGUAUGUGAGAGGUAAGCGGAAUUUGUGGUGUAGCGGUGGAAUGCGUAGAUAUCACAAGGAAGACCAAAGGCGAAGGCAGCUUACUGGCACAAUACUGACACUCAUGGACGAAGGCUAAGGUAGCGAAAAGGAUUAGAUACCCUUGUAGUCUUAGCAGUAAACGUUGUACACUCGAUGUUGGUCUGGUUAGUCGGAUCAGUGUCUAAGCUAACGCGAUAAGUGUACCGCCUGGGAAGUACGGUCGCAAGACUAAAACUCAAAGGAAUUGACGGGGGCCCGCACAAGCGGUGGAGUAUGUGGCUUAAUUCGAUGCAACGCGAAGAACCUUACCUAGGCUUGACAUGCAUCUCUAAGCACGUGAAGGCGUGUGACCCUUCGGGGGAUUUGCACAGGUGCUGCAUGGCCGUCGUCAGCUCGUGUCGUGAGAUGUUGGGUUAAGUCCCGCAACGAGCGCAACCCUUGUGAUUAGUUGCCAGCACGUAAUGGUGGGAACUCUAGUCAGACUGCCCAGAUCAACUGGGAGGAAGGUGGGGACGACGUCAGGUCAGUAUGGCCCUUACGCCUAGGGCUGCACACGUACUACAAUGCUCAGUACAAUUAGAACCGAUACCGCGAGGUGGAGGAAAUCUGUAAAACUGGGCUCAGUUCGGAUUGGAGGCUGCAACUCGCCUCCAUGAAGUUGGAAUCGCUAGUAAUGGGGCAUCAUCUACGGCCCCGUGAAUACGUUCCCGGGUCUUGUACACACCGCCCGUCACAUCAUGGAAGCCGGUAGCACCCUGAAGUAUUGUUCAAUCAAUCCUAAGGUGAAGCUGGUAACUGGGAUGAAGUCGUAACAAGGUAGCCGUAGGGGAACCUGCGGCUGGAUCACCUCCUUUCU